CAAAAUGGAAUACCCAGCAGCGUUUACAAUCAUAAUUGUGAAUUCAAAAAGAACAAUAAAGUUAUUAUCACUAUAUCUGUUGCUAGACUUUUGCUAUCCUUUGACAGACCAGUAAAGCGUCUAUGUAGGUCUUCGUAUAACUAGUUUUCGUAAUUAUUUCUUACUUCAUUGUACAUCGACCAAAAUAAUAGGGUCCACAAAAAACCUAGAACACGUUAUCAGAGCUUAAUUCAGCCUGACCUUCUGUAAAGUUUGUAAGCCACGGCAACAGCCGCCCCAGCUCCAAGCACACCAACGGCUGUGAGAACAUCACGCUCCUUCAAUAGAGACCGGAUCUUACAGCUUUUGCCCUCUUUAAUCUCGUCUCUUUUUGCAGGAUUUGGAAAACUGCAACAAGAAACUCCAUUAACACCCUGGCAACAACCGGUCACAUUUUCUUCCCUGCUCAAGCUGUUACUUUCAAUAUUCUUCUCGAUCU
rnacentral:lncRNA from 1 species